rnacentral:lncRNA from 1 species
UUCCCCAACCAACAAACUCCUCCCUCAAUGAUGCCAGGGGCAGUGCCAGGCAGCGGGCACCCAGGCGUGGCGGACCCAGGCACCCCGCUGCCUCCAGACCCCACAGCUCCGAGCCCAGGCACAGUCACCCCUGUGCCACCCCCACAGUGAGGAACCAGCCAGCUAUCUCCCCUCACUCCCCAUGGAGAUCACAGUCCAGGAACCACCCUCCCCCACAACUGGGACCCUCCCUCAGCCUGGAGAGUUCAUCACUACGUAAGGAAAGCUCCUGCCCCUUCACCACCCCACAUGCCCAGCAGAGGUGUGCAGUUUUAUAUCCAAUAUUAUCCACGGACUUCUAAGAUGUUUCUAAUGCCUGGGAGAGAGGAUAGGAGGGAAGGAUGUUUAUUCAAGGUUCUAUUACUGGUUCUGAGGGUGUACCUUCAGAAUUACUGCAGUUUUGAAGUGAUAACAUGAAAAUGAAACCCUUUAAAAGGGAGGUUUUAAAAAGACACAUCUGAGACCACAAAAAAGAA